GACGAACGCUGGCGGCGUGCUUAACACAUGCAAGUCGAACGGAAAGGCCCUGCUUUUGUGGGGUGCUCGAGUGGCGAACGGGUGGGUAACACGUGAGUAACCUGCCCUUGACUCUGGGAUAACUUCAGGAAACUGGGGCUAAUACCGGAUAGGAGCUCCUGCUGCAUGGUGGGGGUUGGAAAGUUUCGGCGGUUGGGGAUGGACUCGCGGCUUAUCAGCUUGUUGGUGGGGUAGUGGCUUACCAAGGCUUUGACGGGUAGCCGGCCUGAGAGGGUGACCGGCCACAUUGGGACUGAGAUACGGCCCAGACUCCUACGGGAGGCAGCAGUGGGGAAUAUUGCACAAUGGGCGGAAGCCUGAUGCAGCAACGCCGCGUGCGGGAUGACGGCCUUCGGGUUGUAAACCGCUUUCGCCUGUGACGAAGCGUGAGUGACGGUAAUGGGUAAAGAAGCACCGGCUAACUACGUG
rnacentral:rRNA from 1 species